UACAGAGGUCCCAAGCGUUGUUCGGAUUCAUUGGGCGUAAAGGGUGCGUAGGUGGCGCCGUAAGUCAGGUGUGAAAUCUCGGGGCUUAACUCCGAAACUGCAUUUGAUACUGCGGUGCUUGAGGACUGGAGAGGAGACUGGAAUUUACGGUGUAGCGGUGAAAUGCGUAGAUAUCGUAAGGAAGACCAGUGGCGAAGGCGGGUCUCUGGACAGUUCCUGACGCUGAGGCACGAAGGUCAGGGGAGCAAACGGG
rnacentral:rRNA from 1 species